rnacentral:lncRNA from 1 species
GUUCGAAUCAUUGCCUUGUGGCUGAUAAAGGAUCCUUCUCUUUACGACCAAUACUAACAGUCGAAGCUUGCUUUAUCAUUUUAUUAGGAGUUACUUCUAAGAGAACAUCUGCCGUGUUCUAUAGGACAGAAAGAAGUCAUUCAAUACGGGACUUCCGUCUGAUAUAUAUCAGCCUGCAGAAGUAAUCCCUGCAUUACUAAGGAACUCGCUUCUACUUUUCAGUAGAGGAUUAUAAUUAAGUGGUUCGUUUGGCCCUAAUAAAGGGAGGGCAUUCUCAAUUAUAGAGCUCCAUACUUAGCACAUCUUCCUCCAAUUAUGAUCCAAUCUUUUUACCACUCCAAACAUUUCAAAUGGAUCCAUACAGAUCCGUUCAGCAAAUUGAAUAAAUCCUAUGGUAGAAUUUUGUUUUGAUUUAAAUUUCCAAAAAUCACCAGAGCUUCUGAGUUGUUUUAACCACGAGAGGUCCAGCGCCUUUCACAUACCUUCUAUAUGUGUAGAACCAAGAUAUCAGCGAGUUGUUGGAGCAUUAAUACUCGACCUUGAAACGUAUUCUCUUCAAUGCCCCAUACUAAAUCUUACCCUUAAUUUAUACAUUCUCUCACAUUCAGAAAAUCUUUUAAAAAGGCAUGUAUCUCAGCAGAUAUAAUGUUUUUGGGAGGAUAUUGAUAUUCCAGGACUUCAAUGUUUCAUAUAUACAUCAGGAAUGCAGCUAGAAACUUAAAUACCUAGAAGUGAUAAAUACUUAACAAAACAAAACUCGCUAAGACCAUCAUAUGUCUUAAGAUAGUCUUCACAGUUGGAAAAGAUCCUAGUCUUCUCGAUAUUGAUGGAAUUUCUUGAUUUUUUUUGGAAAUCCUGAAUGACUUCAAAGGCUUGGGAGAUGGCAUAUGCCAGUUUUUCUUGUGUUCCCCUAAGAAAUAAGGUAAGAUCGUCCGCAUAUA